UCUGGCUCAGGAUGAACGCUGGCGGCGCGCUUAAGACAUGCAAGUCGAACGGUUAAUAACAUGUCAAAGAUGAAGUUUCACAGAUUCAGAGACGCCGUAUUAAAUAGUGGCGGACGGGUGAGUAACACGUGAGCAACCUGCCUUCAAGUGGGGGACAACAGAGAGAAAUUUCUGCUAAUACCGCAUAAGACCACACUACCGCAUGGUAGAGGGGUCAAAGAUUUAUCGCUUGAAGAUGGGCUCGCGGCUGAUUAGCUAGUUGGUGGGGUAACGGCUCACCCAAGGCGACGAUCAGUAGCCGAACUGAGAGGUUGAUCGGCCACAUUGGGACUGAGACACGGCCCAGACUCCUACGGGAGGCAGCAGUCGGGAAUAUUGCACAAUGGGGGGAAAAACCCCUGAUGCAGCGACGCCGCGUAAAGGAAGAAGGUCUUCGGAUUGUAAACUUUUGUCGACAGGGAAGAGAACGGACAGUACCUGUGGAGGAAGCCCCGGCUAACUACGUGCCAGCCGCCGC
rnacentral:rRNA from 1 species